CUUGAACGCUGGCGGAAUGCUUUACACAUGCAAGUCGAACGGUAGAGGGGGCAACCCCUCGAGAGUGGCGAACGGGUGAGUAAUAUAUCGGAACGUGCCCAGUCGUGGGGGAUAACGUAGCGAAAGUUAGGCUAAUACCGCAUACGAUCUAAGGAUGAAAGCGGGGGAUCGCAGGACCUCGCGCGAUUGGAGGGGCCGAUAUCAGAUUAGGUAGUUGGUGGGGUAAAGGCUCACCAAGCCAACGAUCUGUAGCUGGUCUGAGAGGACGACCAGCCACACUGGAACUGAGACACGGUCCAGACUCCUACGGGAGGCAGCAGUGGGGAAUUUUGGACAAUGGACGCAAGUCUGAUCCAGCCAUUCCGCGUGCAGGAUGAAGGCCCUCGGGUUGUAAACUGCUUUUGUACGGAACGAAAAGGUCUCUCUUAAUACGGGGGACUCAUGACGGUACCGUAAGAAUAAGCACCGGCUAACUACGUGCCAGCCGCCGCCGUAACAC
rnacentral:rRNA from 1 species